AAGUGCUUGUGAUGUUUCUGGGGUUGAAAAUAAAAAAAUCUGUGUGUGUGGUUCUGUUAGAGGUCUGGUUCUGUUAGAGGUGUAGUUCUGUUAGAGGUGUAGUUCUGUUAGAGGUGUGGUUCUGUUAGAGGUGUAGUUCUGAUAGAGGUGUGGUUCUGUUAGAGGUGUAGUUCUGUUAGAGGUGUGGUUCUGAUAGAGGUGUAGUUCUGUUAGAGGUGUGGUUCUGUUAGAGGUGUGGUUCUGUUAGAGGUGUAGUUCUGUUAGAGGUGUGGUUCUGUUAGAGGUGUAGUUCUAUUAGAGGUGUAGUUCUGUUAGAGGUGUGGUUCUGUUAGAGGUCUGGUUCUGUUAGAGGUGUAGUUCUGAUAGAGAUGUGGUUCUGUUAGAGGUGUAGUUCUAUUAGAGGUGUAGUUCUCUUUGAGGUGUGGUUCUUUUAGAGGUGUGGUUCUGUUAGAGGUGUGGUUCUGUUAGAGGUGCGGUUUCAACUGGGAAUCAUAUCUCUCUCUCUCUCUCUCUCUCUCUCACACACUGUGUAAAGUGAUUCC